rnacentral:lncRNA from 1 species
CCCCGCCACGGGUGGGCCGGGUCCCGGGAGCAUCCCUGCAGGCUCGGCGCGAAGCCUCAGCACAGGACGUGGGGUCCGAGCCCGGCCCCUGGACUGCGCGGGCCUGAGCCUGCCCGGGGAAGCGCUGGGUUUCGGCAAAGCCGGGGCGCGGGGCUCCGGGCCCGCGUGAGGAGCCGAGCAGCGCUGCCCGAGGGGCGUUGCUGGAGCGGCCGCUUGCCGGCGACUCGGGACACGGGUCUGGCCACGCCAGGCUGCUGGGUGCAGGGCAGGGAGAAGGCUUGUGGAGCGGGAAGAGAGCCGGCUUCUGUUUACACCCAGGAUAAAUCGGACGCAACUCCAUUCAAGCCAGUUGGUGAAAUCGCGCUCCUACAAAAGACAGUGGGUGAUCAGGACCAGGAUUUUUGCCAAUAUCAUUGUAUUGCUGUUAAUGAGCUCAGAAUCAGGUCACUAGUCUCAGAACCGUUUUGAUGGAAGAGUGGCCAUUCAAACAAAGGAUUCUCCUUAUCUGUUUGCACUAUUGUAGUACCUCUGGGAGCCCUAAUCAUGAAUCAGGACUGCAUUUUGCUAGGCACUGCAUAAAAAUGCCAGUAGCCCUGCAGCUGUAAGGAAGGAGGAUUAGAUGCUGAGGUUAGCACUGACCUAUUCUGCUACCAGCCUCCUUAACUCCCGCAGUGAAAUGAAUAUCAGUCAACUGCCUAGAAAAUUCUGAUCGAUGCAAAUAACAAGCACAGUAAUUGGCAAAGGCCAACAAAGGUCUGCACAGAUUAGUACAUUUCAUCUUCAUCUGAUGUGGUCCAGAUUAAUUUUCUUAGCUCCCAAAGUAUUAGUUGACUUUGCAAUAAUAAUCAUUUAUUUAUUGCUGCAAUAUUUCCCAGAGCCUUGACUGGACCAGGAUCGCUUACAACUGGGGGUUGCAAACACAUUGUUUCAGAGUUUAUGGUCUAAAGCUUGAUUCUGCAAUUUGCUGCAUGCAGGUAGAUUGCUAAACCACACUUAAGGCAACAAGUGAAAAGACCAAGGGACUUAAUGCAAGACAAGACAGACAGGUUGGUAAAACAGACAAGGUGGGAGUAAGAAAUACAGGAUGUUCCAUCACGGAUUAGUUGCCGGUAUAAUACAUAGCUAAUCUUCAAUUGCAAUAAUUGCAGCUAGCUACUUGCUUAGCUUAGCCAUAGUAUUGCAAACUGGGUAAGGGAACCAUUUAGCUUCAUUGUACCUUCAACAAGUGCUUUUGUAUUAGAGCUGAUUGAAAUGUUCCAAAUGAAAAUUGUUUAAUUGAAAAAUGACAUUUUCUCCAGCAAUGAAAAUGUUCAUCGCAAAACUUUCAUCUUUUAAAAUAUAUUUUCUUUCCUAUUCCUCAUGAUGAAACCUGAAAAUGUUUUCAGUGGCUUAAUUUCCAUGUUCUAGGUUUUCCUUCCUUCAUUUUCAGUAAUGAUAUAAUGGGGGAAAGUGGGAAAACAAGCCAAAA